AACGAACGCUGGCGGCAGGCCUAACACAUGCAAGUCGAACGCCCUGGCGACAGGGAGUGGCAGACGGGUGAGUAACGCGUGGGAACGUGCCUUUCGGUUCGGAAUAACCCAGGAAACUUGGACUAAUACCGGAUACGUGCGAGAGCAGAAAGAUUUAUCGCCGAAAGAUCGGCCCGCGUCCGAUUAGCUAGUUGGUGAGGUAAAGGCUC
rnacentral:rRNA from 1 species